AAGACUUUUGCCCUCCCAAACACAAUCCAUAGUUCGUCUACCCCUAUGUCACGGAAUAGCGAAACAGUAGUGACAGCAUCAUCAUUAACGACUGUUCGAAUCUCGAGGUUCGAAUCGUGACUCGUUUAAGUUCGUGUUUCACUGCAUCAGACACAUGCACCAUGAUUCUAGUGUCUGCCUCUAAAUGUGAACUUGGUGCUAAACUUGAAAUACAUCACGUGGUGGAUAAGCUAGAAUGUCCUGACCAUUUGUUGCUGUAACUACCAUACUCAUCCAAGACUUCAUCCACUCGUUUUACAGUUUCAAGGUAUUUUAUUAAGGUAAGGACAUAAUACCAAAUCAGCAUACUCAUUAGGCUGCAAUUCACAAUCGGAGAGCUGAUUUCCCACAUUUACAAAGACUGUGGUAUUG
rnacentral:lncRNA from 1 species